CGGAGGAAAAGAAACUAACAAGGAUUCCCCUAGUAACUGCGAGUGAAGCGGGAAAAGCUCAAAUUUAAAAUCUGGCGGUCUUAUGGCCGUCCGAGUUGUAGUCUGGAGAAGCGUUUUCCGCGUUGGACCGUGUACAAGUUUCCUGGAACGGAGCGUCAUAGAGGGUGAGAAUCCCGUCUUUGACACGGACCCCAAUGCUUUGUGAUGCGCUCUCAAAGAGUCGAGUUGUUUGGGAAUGCAGCUCAAAAUGGGUGGUGAAUUCCAUCUAAAGCUAAAUAUUGGCGAGAGACCGAUAGCGAACAAGUACCGUGAGGGAAAGAUGAAAAGCACUUUGGAAAGAGAGUUAAACAGUACGUGAAAUUGUUGAAAGGGAAACGCUUGAAGUCAGUCGCGUUGGCCGGGACUCAGCCUUGCAUCCGCUUGGUGUACUUUCCGGUCGACGGGCCAGCAUCAGUUUUGACCGCGAGAUAAAGGCGGAGGGAAUGUGGCUCUCUCGGGAGUGUUAUAGCCCUUUGUCAGAUGUCGCGGUUGGGACUGAGGAACUCAGCACGCCUUUAUGGCCGGGGUUCGCCCACGUACGUGCUUAGGAUGCUGGCGUAAUGGCUUUAAACGACCCGUCUUGAA
rnacentral:rRNA from 1 species